rnacentral:piRNA from 2 species
UGGUUCUUUCCUGGUACGAGACAGUUCU